AUACGGAGGGUCCAAGCGUUAUCCGGAUUCAUUGGGGUUAAAGGGUCCGCAGGCGGGAAAAUAAGUCAGUGGUGAAAGCCUACAGCUCAACUGUAGAACUGCCAUUGAUACUGUUUUUCUUGAGUAUAGAUGAAGUGGGCGGAAUAUAUCAUGUAGCGGUGAAAUGCAUAGAUAUGAUAUAGAACACCGAUUGCGAAGGCAGCUCACUAAACUAUUACUGACGCUCAGGGACGAAAGCGUGGGGAGCGAACAGGAUUAGAAACCCUAGUAGUCC
rnacentral:rRNA from 1 species